UACCCGCAGCACAAGUGGUGGUCAUUAUUAUUGGGCCUAAAGCGUCCGUAGCUGGCUUGUUAGAUGCCUGGGUAAAUCGAUGCGCUCAACGUAUCGAACUCCGGGUAGACCGGCGAGCUUGGGACCGGGAGAGGCGUGAGCUACUCGAGGGGUAGGGGUAAAAUCCUGUAAUCCUUCGGGGAGGACCAGUGGCGAAGGCGUCACGCUAGAACGGCUCCGACAGUGAGGGACGAAGCCCUGGGGCGCAAACCGG
rnacentral:rRNA from 1 species